UACAGAGGGGGCGAGCGUUGUUCGGAAUUACUGGGCGUAAAGGGCGCGUAGGCGGCCUUCUAAGUCGAACGUGAAAUCCCCGGGCUCAACCCGGGAACUGCGUCCGAUACUGGGAGGCUUGAAUCCGGGAGAGGGAUGUGGAAUUCCAGGUGUAGCGGUGAAAUGCGUAGAUAUCUGGAGGAACACCGGUGGCGAAGGCGGCAUCCUGGACCGGUAUUGACGCUGAGACGCGAAAGCUAGGGGAGCAAACGGG
rnacentral:rRNA from 1 species